GAACGCUAGCGACAGCUAACACAUGCAAGCGAGGGCAGCGACGGAGUAGCAAUACGUUUGGUGGCGACCGGCGCGACGGGUGAGUAACGCGUAUGACCAACCUACCUAUCGAGGAAGGGAACUAACCGGCGAAAGUCGGACUAAUACCGCAUAAAACAGGGGCACCGCAUGGUGAUAUUUGUUAAAGAAAUUCGCUGAUAGAUGGGCAUGCGUUCCAUUAGGUAGUUGGUGAGGUAACGGCUCACCAAGCCGACGAUGGAUAGGGAACUGAGAGGUUGGUCCCCCACACUGGUACUGAGACACGGACCAGACUCCUACGGGAGGCAGCAGUGAGGAAUAUUGGUCAAUGGGCGGGAGCCUGAACCAGCCAAGUCGCCGUGAAGGAAGAAGGAUCUAUGGUUCGUAAACUUCUUUUGCAGGGGAAUAAAGUGCAGGACGUGUCCUGUUUUGUAUGUACCCUGAGAAUAAGGAUCGGCUAACUCCGUGCCAGCCGCCGC
rnacentral:rRNA from 1 species